GAAACAACAAAACGCAGCCCGUUCGGGAGUUAUCAAUUCCGUUUUUUUCUUCUUAGCAGCUCAGCAAGCGCGCACACGUGCGGCAACACGAACUCGAGCUCCCCACUUUUCCCCACCCGAAACCCUCGCCUCCGCCGCCGCACCAUGCCGCCGCCGCCGGUGCUGAUGGACGAGCUCGUGGAGGAGGUCCUCCUCCGCCUCCCGCCGGACGAUCCCGCCUCGCUCUUCCGCGCCUCCGCCGUCUGCAAGCCCUGGCGCAUCAUCCUCGCCGGCCCGCGCUUCCGCCGCCGCUACCGCGAGUUCCACGGAACACCUCCCAUCCUGGGACUCUUCCAGCAGGGCGGCCGCUUCGUCCCCGCCUCCGCCCUCGUCCCUGCCCACCCCGGCCUCCCCAGCUGGGUUGCCAUGGACUGCCGCCAUGGCCGCGCCCUCUUCGCCCACCUCGGGAUCACCCUUGAACUCGUCGUCUUGGACCCUGUGACGGGCCACCAGCACAGGGUGACCUCGUCCUAUCACUAUCCGGUCACCGUCGGUGCGGCGGUGCUCUGUGCCGCGCAAGGCUGCGACCACCACGGUUGCCAGGGAGGGCAUUUCCAUCUGGCCUUUGUGUCCACCGACCAGGUCGGAACCAUAUCGGCCUGGCUGUACUCAUCUGAGACUGCCGAGUGGAGUAAGUUCACCUCUCUUCACCACUCAAAUGCUCACCACUCAAAUGCUUUGCUUCAAACAUUUAGUGAGGCUAGUGUCCUUGUGGGCGAGGCGCUCUACUUCAACAUGGGUUACAUUGUGGAGUGCCAACUUGGUACACUCCGCAUAUCAAUGUUCAAGAAGCCGAUCGACGGCAAGGGGUGUCUCAUGACGGCGGAAGACGGCACGCUGGGAUUUGCUGCCGUGGUGGAUGUCGCAAAUCUAACCCUUUGGUCAAUGGAGACCGGACCCGAGGGAGCCACUGGAUGGGCGAAACUCAGGGUAAUUGAUCUUAAGGCGCUGCUCCCUGAUGGAUCCUUCUUGAUCCGAGCACCUGAAGAUGGGAUUUGGAGCAUCACAAAGGUUAUCCCAGCACCUAAAGCUGGGAUUAUUGGCAUUGCGGAGGGUACCCAAGUCAUAUUUGUGAGCACAUAUGCUGGUUCCUACAUGGUCGAUCUCAAGUCUCGACAAGUCAGGAAGGUGUCUCGUCCGGGCAAAAUUAUCUUUCCCUACAUGAGCUUCUACCUCCCAGCAAUGGAAGCAGCUUCUACGGGCCAGGGGCAGUGA
rnacentral:rRNA from 1 species